rnacentral:rRNA from 1 species
GACGAACGCUGGCGGCGUGCUUAACACAUGCGAGUCGAACGGAAAGGCCCCCAUCUUGGUGGGGGUGCUCGAGUGGCGAACGGGUGAGUAACACGUGGGUGAUCUGCCCUGUACUUCGGGAUAAGCUUGGGAAACUGGGUCUAAUACCGGAUAGGACCAUGGUUUAGUGUCUCAUGGUGGAAAGAUUAUUGUUUUGGUGCAGGAUGAGCUCGCGGCCUAUCAGCUUGUUGGUGGGGUAAUGGCCUACCAAGGCGUCGACGGGUAGCCGGCCUGAGAGGGUGGACGGCCACAUUGGGACUGAGAUACGGCCCAGACUCCUACGGGAGGCAGCAGUGGGGAAUAGUGCACAAUGGGCGCAAGCCUGAUGCAGCGACGCCGCGUGGGGGAUGACGGCCGUCGGGUUGUAAACUCCUUUCGUUAGGGACGAAGCCGCACUUUUUUUGGGUGUGGUGACGGUACCUUUGUUAAGAAGCACCGGCUAACUACGUG